ACAUCGCUUUGCUGCACCAACAGAUCGGCGCCUGGGAUGCGAUUUUGGAGGUAAGCGCCCUUUUAGCAGGCCGCUCCACCGGCUCCUCCACCUCUCUGCCUCUCGCUCGGCUGUCUUGCAGUGGAUGGAGGCGAUGCUGAGCGGCUUCCAAAGCGACCUGUCGUCCAUCAGCGGCGAGAUCCACACACUGCAGCAGCAGUCGCUCAGCAUGAAUGUGCGUCUGAAGAACCGCUAGGCGGUGCGUGGCCAGCUCAGCCAGCUGGUGGACGAGCUGCUGGUGCCCGGAGCCAUGAACUGGUCCGUUUGAUCCAGGAGGAGGAGCCAAUGAGUGACUGGCACGUGCGUUCCAACUGCAGCUGCCGCUGACAUGGUUUGGCGCAGCCUAGCCGCUGAGCUCGCUUUCGCUGGCCGACUUCAAGCUGAAGGGCGACCUGGUCGUGGUCCUCAACGCCCUGGGAAGCAACACCUCUUGAGCUCACAUAGCUGGACAAUGGCAAUGCCAUGGGAGGCAGUGGUGCCAAAAUGCUGGCCAAGGCCCUGCAGAUCAACGGCAAGCUAAGGUGGGGGCGCUCCAAUCCGGUGCCAGUCUGGCACCCGCCGCUCUUUGCUGGCUUAUUGUCGCCUUCUGCAGGACGCUCAUCUGGGACACGAACAAUGUCAGCCCUCAGGGCCUGCAGGAAGUGGUGUCCGCCUUGGAGAAGAACUUCACCAUCCGGUUGAAGCCGUUCGUUCCCAUCGUGGAUGCCGCAUAGGCACUUAAGACACAGCCAGAAAAGACAGAAGACGCUCUGCUGAAGAUGAAACCACAAAACCCGGAAGUACUUCCAGGAGCAGGCGUACUGGCUGUAGCAGGGCAUCGUCACCAGCACGAUGCAGCAGGCUGGCGCCUCGGCAAUAGCCCCUCCUCGGACCGAGUUCGAGCUGACCCUAUGCUCCUCUGUGAAGAUGAUGGACACCAUGUGUGUGAAGGUUCAGGACCACCUAAACUCCCUCAUGUUCUCCCAGGACACGUGCGGUCCGGGAGGACAUGUAAGUGGCGGAAAACCUGAUGAAUGAUGCAAGAAACUCCAAAAGGCUGCUCCCUUGCCUCUACCACCUGGGCGGCGGGCGAUGCUUUGCGCGGUGCCAUUCAAGACAAAUUGGAGUCGGUGGCAAUGGAAGUGGCGCGCGGCCGUGAUGGAGGAGCAGCUGCAGGUAGUCACAUGCUGGCAACUGGACUCCAUGUACCGUAUUUUUCGGAAUGUAAGUCGCGUUUUUUUUCAGAAUUCUGGUGGGGGGGCGACUUGUACCGCGGUGCGACAUAUGUGAAUUUUUUCAUAAAUUAAAAAAAAAAAAAAAAGGGUGAAACCGUGAUAAACAAACCGCGAUGUAGCAAGGGAUUACUGUAACUUGAAUUUCAAGUGACGUCAGCAGCGCGGCGGGGCGGGGCGGUUGUUUACAUAAAGGACAAAGAUUCGAUCACGAGGUGACGAAGAUGACGAAGGGCCGCACGUACUACCGGCAUCAUUAGCGGCUUUGUUUGUAAGUGACACGGAGGACGAAGAGUUUGAAGGAUUUAAGGAUUUGGAGUGACACAGAAGGUUUAAAAAACUAUUAUGGCUUUUACGCACGCCCGGUCCUACUCUAUGGAGCUCUCUUUCACCUCCGUGGAUGGAAGUCAGGGGCCGGCGCUCAGCCGGGUGGCUACCCGGGGACGGUGGAUGGGGCUCGGACAUGGCUUUUACGCACACCCGGUCCAAUUCUACGGAGCUCUCUUUCACCUUCGUGGCUGGAAGUUGGGGCCCCGUGCUCGGCCAGGUGGCUCUCCGGGGACGGUGGAUGGGGCUCGGACAUGGCUUUUCCACACGCCCUGUCCUAUUCUAUGGAGCUCUCUUCCACCUCCGUGGCUGGAAGUGCCACCUCCGGGGAUGGAAGUCCACGCCGGUGCUUGGGUCCUUGUACUUUGUCAAUGCUACAAUAAUCUUAUAUACUAGAUUUGUGGAUAAAUGAAGAGGGUGGCGUCAGGGCGCACGCGCGGCGUUGUUGACAAAGGACGAGGAAUUUGAUUGAUGGAUUUAAUGAUUUGGAGUGACACAGAUGGUUUGAUAAUAUUAUUGCUUAUAUACCGUUUUUUUCCAAGUAUAAUGCGCCUCCAUGUAUAAUACGCACCCUAAAAAUGGCAU